UGAUCGAGGCCGGCUGCGCAUGUGAAGCUCGCGUGCUCGGCGACUCGUCUGUUUUGGAUGUAGCCCGUUUUUGAGCUCCUGGCGUUCCCUUGUGUUCCGUCUGCAUUUCGACACGGCACCGCUUCACUACUAAAGCUGAUGGCAUCCGGUGGAGCAUCGUACGGCAACGACUGCUGCUUACCUGGUGCCACAACUUUGGAUGAAUGCAGAAGAAGCCCGGAACGAGCAUUUAUAUAGCGCAAAAUAAACAUUUCAUCAUUUCAAAAGACGUCUUUUGUUUUCUUUAUGAAAUUGCACCUGACAGAUUCGGCGCUGUCUUGUAAAGGUCAAUCGCAAUCAUUUCUACUUCAUAACGAAACGAUUCCACGCAAAGGCCACGCGAGGUUCAGCAGAAGCGAAAAAAAAAAAGAAUGAAUGCCGCGCCGAGCAGCGGAGCCGGCGCGGCGUGUACCAACUGGUGUUCGAAACGCGCGCGCCCAAAACCGAAACCGGAAGGAGUCAAUAACAUCCGCUAGGUGUGCUACAAUCAAUUCGGCCACUGGGCUCUCUAGGAGUGUCCGCUCUUGUUGAAAUUUGUUUCUCUAUGGCUUGAAGCCUGUUUCACAUGAUGCGAUUUUCGUCGCACCGGAAGUGCGAUUUCCGUCGUUUGCGAUGAAAAUCGCAGUCGCAGUGCCGACCCCCCGAUUUUCGGCUGCGACCAACCGGUUGGUCGCACAGUCGCACCGUCGCACCGAUCGCUGCGAUUUUCCGUCGAAAUUGCGCGGAGAGCUGUCAACGGAGCUAUUUCGCCGGUUUGUUUUGGAAAAUGGCGUCUCGUACGACAAGUGCAAUGCGCGGAGACGUAGAUCGUCGAAUUCGGUACGUACGCGAAGGGAGAAUAAAAAAACUUGUACCGCAGAUUGCAUUCUCCGAUUGCUAUGCGUUUGUUGACACGCUACACAGCAAAUGAAGUGCAUUUUCACGUUUGCUUCGUACGCCUUUGCGAGUUGUCAGUGCUAGGAGGUGUUCGAUCCCCACCAGACGACGAGGUCGUCACAAUGUUCUUUUGUAAAAUCGCGCUUACGGAGCAGCUUGAAUUAUUUCAACCUCGGCAAGGGCAAAUGACAAGACAGCAAAGUACCCGAAGUUUCAGCGUUGCGCUGAACGCGGUACCGUUCAGUUGCAUUUUCUUCUCGGUUUUCAAGCAUGAAUUUCCCGAUGCAUCUUGAAAGCUUAUCUUGCCUCUUAUUAAAUUUGACAGAGCAAAAGUGUAGGCUAUUGUAAUGAAUUUGCUACGAUAGCAUUAAAUCCGUGGUUUGAAUAAAAUAUUACAUGCACGUUAAGUUGCACCUCUUCUCUGGAGAAUUUUUUUUUUCUUGCACAGAAACCAAUAAACAUAGACUAUGUUGCGGA